rnacentral:misc_RNA from 1 species
AAGACCGAUAUUUUACGCGGCGAUUGCCAUGGUGAAUUACAAGUUUAUAAAUUUUUAAAAACUUAACGGUCGCAUUCAAGUCAUUUUCAAAUUUCCCAAUCAGUGGUGAUUCAGACGAAGCACACGAAAUUUAUAUUUUGUUAAAGUGAUAUAAUUGAGACUGCAGAUCCGCCUCGUGUACUUACUGGGGAAAAACGAGGAUAUUCCAAGUUCGCCCGACAAUCGUGAUUGAUAUACGCAGCAGGACCCAGCCAAAGCUGAGCACAGUUCUUUCUGCAGCUAAACAUCACUGAGAAAUCAUUUUUGCCAGGGUGUAAUAAAGCUGCUUCUUCCU